AUUUUCAAGGAAGCAUUAACUUGGAAGGCAGUUUGGGCUCAUAAGGGAAGCUGAAGGCAGGAAACCAGACACGUGGUCCUAUUGUCCUGUGACUUUGGGCAGGGGUUUUGAAGCAGUAGAAGAAACCUAAGACUUCAACCCUAAGUUACUCUGGGCUGGACCAAGGCUUUUUUGCAUACUCAGAGACCAGUAGAGCUCUGCUCAUUGAAACAAACUUGGGCAGUCUUCACAGUGCUAGCGCUUGUGCAGAACAGGAUGUUGAAGACGCCCUAUCGUGGUGUUUUAUUUUGAUGGACAGAGGAAGAAAGGACUAGGAAAUGUGUCUUCAUCUGACAGCAGCAUAACCCAUAG
rnacentral:lncRNA from 1 species